rnacentral:misc_RNA from 1 species
GUUUAAAAUGACGAGGUCAUUUGGAUUGAAUGUGGACACUUUAAGGGCAAUUUUGAAUGAAUGGUUUUAGAUGAUAUUGGAUGAAGUUAAAAAAAAAAAAAAAUCAAAUAUGGAUACUUUUUUUCAAAAGAGCAACCAUGGCUCUCAUGGUUACCGAAUUGUAGCCAGUGGCAAUGAGAGAGGGAGAGUCCCAAAUACGCAUUAGUGGUCAACGGCUAUUGCACUCCGGCUAGUGGUGGCGUCGUGCUUUGGCUUGUGUCCUUGAGUUACCAUUGAACUACCAUGGAUGUGGUUAAGGGUAGUCCUCACGUAGCUGGAUAGCGUGGAGUGGCUAUGGCAUUAUGAAAGGAAAACCACCGAGCGUCUCUUAUA